rnacentral:rRNA from 1 species
GACGAACGCUGGCGGCGUGCUUAACACAUGCAAGUCGAACGCUGAAGCUCAGCUUUUGUUGGGUGGAUGAGUGGCGAGCGGGUGAGUAACACGUGAGUAACCUGCCCCCUUCUUUGGGAUAACGCCCGGAAACGGGUGCUAAUACUGGAUAUUCACUGGUCUUCGCAUGGGGGUGGGUGGAAGGGGUUUUUCUGGUGGGGGAUGGGCUCGCGGCCUAUAAGCUUGUUGGUGGGGGGAUGGCCUACCAAGGCUUUGACGGGUAGCCGGCCUGAGGGGGUGACCGGGCACAUUGGGACUGGGAUACGGCCCAGACUCCUACGGGAGGGAGCAGUGGGGAAUAUGGGACAAUUGGCGCAAGCCUGAUGCAGCGGCGCCGCGGGAGGGAUGGAGGCCUUCGGGUUGUGAACCUCUUUCGCUCAUGGUCAAGCCGCAACAAUGGUUGUGGUGAGGGUAGUGGGUAAAGAAGCGCCGGCUAACUACGUG